rnacentral:tRNA from 1 species
AAAAGUUUAGACUAAUUAAGUCAUAAGAUUCAUAAUCUUAAGAUUAAGCUUUUC